rnacentral:piRNA from 1 species
UACCACCCAGGGGACUUGGCGUUCUGUGU